UACGGGGGGGGCAAGCGUUGUUCGGAAUUACUGGGCGUAAAGGGCUCGUAGGCGGCCAACUAAGUCAGACGUGAAAUCCCUCGGCUUAACCGGGGAACUGCGUCUGAUACUGGUUGGCUUGAAUCCGGGAGAGGGAUGUGGAAUUCCAGGUGUAGCGGUGAAAUGCGUAGAUAUUCGCAAGAACACCAGUGGCGAAGGCGGACUCAC
rnacentral:rRNA from 1 species